rnacentral:rRNA from 1 species
AGUGAACGCUGGCGGUAGGCCUAACACAUGCAAGUCGAACGGCAGCACAGUAAGAGCUUGCUCUUACGGGUGGCGAGUGGCGGACGGGUGAGGAAUACAUCGGAAUCUACUUUUUCGUGGGGGAUAACGUAGGGAAACUUACGCUAAUACCGCAUACGACCUACGGGUGAAAGCAGGGGAUCUUCGGACCUUGCGCGAUUGAAUGAGCCGAUGUCGGAUUAGCUAGUUGGCGGGGUAAAGGCCCACCAAGGCGACGAUCCGUAGCUGGUCUGAGAGGAUGAUCAGCAACACUGGAACGGAGACACGGUCCAGACUCCUACGGGAGGCAGCAGUGGGGAAUAUUGGACAAUGGGCGCAAGCCUGAUCCAGCCAUACCGCGUGGGUGAAGAAGGCCUUCGGGUUGUAAAGCCCUUUUGUUGGGAAAGAAAAGCAGCAGGUUAAUACCCCGCUGUUCUGACGGUACCCAAAGAAUAAGCACCGGCUAACUUCGU